UACAGAGGUCUCAAGCGUUGUUCGGAUUCAUUGGGCGUAAAGCGUGCGUAGGUGGCGCCGUAAGUCAGGUGUGAAAUCCCGGGGCUCAACCCCGAAACUGCACUUGAUACUGCGGUGCUUGAGUACUGGAGAGGAGAUUGGAAUUUACGGUGUAGCAGUGAAAUGCGUAGAUAUCGUAAGGAAGACCAGUGGCGAAGGCGAAUCUCUGGACAGUUACUGACACUGAGGCACGAAGGCCAGGGGAGCAAACGGG
rnacentral:rRNA from 1 species